rnacentral:lncRNA from 1 species
GAGAGAUCACAAGUAGGCUGAGAGGCAGGCAGAGAGAAAGGAGAAAUCAGGCUCUCUGCUCGGCAGGGAGCCUGAUGUGGGGCUCGAUCCCAGGGCCCUGGGAUUAUGACCUGAGCCAAAGGCAGAGGCUUUAACCCACUGAGCCCCCCAGGUACACCAUACAUCUUUAUUUUUUAAAGAUUUUAUUUGAGAGAGAGCAGGCACUGGGAGAGGGUAGAGGAAGAAGCAGAUUCCCCACUGAGCAUGGAGCCCCAUGUGGGACUCAACUCAAUGUCAGGACCCUGGGAUCAUGACCUGAGCUGAAGGCAGAUGCUUAAGGGACUGAGCCACCCAGGUGUCCCUCAAAAUACAUUUUUGAGCAGCUACUGUGCUGGGCAUGGUGGGGGGUGAGUUGGAGGGGGGAAGGGCCUUGGGUUCCGAACCGGUAUGCUCAUCCACGAGUCUUGUGAGUCCGUAGAAAUCCACAGGAAACUUCGGCACAGGCUGAUCUGGCCUGCUAUGGGAAUGCAGAGGACAUCCAGGAAGGCUUCCUGGAGAAGGUGCCAAACUCAGCUCCAAAGCUUAAGCCAGGGGUGGGGCAGGGUGAAGAGAGAAUUUCCCCAGAGAGGUCCCAGCUGUGGGUGGUUGGGAAGCGAGGGGCUGGGCUUCAUCCGGAAUCUGGAAGGAGAGGUGGGAGUGGUCUCAGAACUUUGUGAUCUGAUGGAUUCUGAUGCAAGCACAGGGGCUUUGGAAAGGCUGACUCACGGAUCCAAGGUAAGAUGAGAACUGGCUUCAUCUAAAUUGUUUUCCCUUUAGAGCUUGGUCAACAUUGUCUUCAAGAGUCCUUGAGUUUUGUUUUAAGUAAUCUCUUUGCCCAACGUGGGGUUCAGACUCACGACCCCGGACAUCAAGAGUCGCAUUCUUUACUGACUGGGCCAGCCGGGUGUCCCUGGAUUUGUAAGUUAUGACUUCUUUCCAGGUGGCAUAAGGGACAAGAGAUUGCAAAAUGAAAAAAGCCACUAUCUUUCCUUUUUAUUGUAUCUCAGCAUAAUUACACUAAAAAAGUAGUCAAAAUAAUAUCAAGUAUGGAAUGAAGGUGUCCACCUUAAUAGUCAACACUGGUGGGGGCGCCUGGGUGGCUCAGCGGGUUGAGCGUCUGACUCUUGGUUUCGGCGUGGGUCCUGCUGUUGGAUGGACCCUGUCCUCCGACCCUGUCCUCCGUUGGGCUUCACACUCAGCGGGGAGCCCGCUCACGAUUCUUCCUCCUUCCCCUCUCCCUCUGCUUCCCUUGCUCACACACUCUUUCUCUAAAAUGAAAAAAAUCGGUUAAAAAAAAAAAAGAAAGAGAAACACCUCUGGUUUGUACAUUGACGUACAGACCCUCUUACCCCCCAGAGCCUGCCAAGAGCCUCAUCAGGUGAAGGUGGGGCCGGUGUGCUUGGAGCCGUGCGCUGUUCUGUGUGUGGGUAGGAACGGGGAUCAUGUUCAGUCUCUGACUUCACUUUACACUAUUACACGUUUAGGGAUAUUUCCUGGGCACCGACCCUGGCCCAGGGAUUCGGGAAUGACUUGAAGUUGUCCCGAAAAGGAAUGCGUCUGAAGGACCCAGAGUGUGUGCGCCUUGGGGCCGUGGGUGGUUCGACCCUGACCCUCCAGGGUUUCCUGCUCUCCCAGGCUCCUGGGCCAGGAAAGGAGCUCAGAGAUGUGGAGUCUGGACCAGAUCUUAGUUUCUUUCAAGCGGGUAGAAAAAUAAAGGUAAGAGCAUCCUGUGAGGGGCGCCUGGGGGGUCAGUCACUAUGUGUCUGUGUCUGCCUUCAGCUCAGGUCAUGAUCUCAGGGUCCUGGGAUCAAGCUCUGCAUCAGGCUUCCUGCUCAGCGGGAAUCCUGCUUCUCCCUCUCCCAUUCCGGCUGCUUGUGUUCCCCCCACUCUUGCUGUGUCUCUCUCUCUCUGUCAAAUAAAUUAAAAAAAAAAAAUUAAAAAAAGAAGCACCCUGUGAGAUGCCAGCCCACAUUGCUUUGGUUGACCUGCCCUCAAUAAAGCCAAUCCUCUUAAAAUCCGCUUUUGGGGAAGAGAAGUUUGAGAACUCUUUCAGAGCAAAUCUUAUUGCAAGGAGAGGGGGUCUAUUCUUGAACUAGAACAGUUGAGGUUGAUGAAUGUUAAAGAACUUUUAAAAUAUCUUUUUGGGGGAACUUUUUUAAAGGAUUUUAUUUGAGAGAGGACACACAGAAGAGCAGAGGGAGAGAGAGAAGCAGACACCCCGCUGAGCAGGGAGCCUGACACGGGGCUCCAU